rnacentral:lncRNA from 1 species
CGGGAGAUAGUAAUAAACACUUCAUUUGAGAAAGCAACAAAAAGUAAAUUUAAUUUUUUUUUAUAACCAAAGUAAAUUUAAACUUCAAAAGUGAUGACCCACAUGCAUAGAAAAUUAUAAAUUUUGUUUAAGAUUUUCUACUCUUUAGGUAUGAAAUCCGUAACCCACACCACCACCACCCAUAUAUAUAUUUAUUAAAAAAUUAAAAUUAACUUAAUUCAAUUUUGGUUUGAAGUCCAUGAGUUAUCACAUUGAAAUCCGUAUGAUUUCAUUAUCUCUUUCCUUUUCAAUUAAUUCUCUUUCUCUAACUUCUCAAUUUUCACUUUCUAUAAUUUUUGUUAACUUUGCAUCCACAACCCAAACCCUAGCCGUAUCUUUGGUGUCUCAAAUGGCCACACUAAUACUAUCAAUAUCUUCCUCUCAUCUUUUUUUUCCUCUAUACAUGUGUUUAGUUUUUCAAAAUUGUGAAGUUGAUGUCAGACUUCCGCCGAAAAAUAUAUCACUUUUGGUCAUCUUCAAGCUCAUCCAUGGAAUAUUUAUGGUCAGAUCUGUAACAAUGAUCAUGUAAGCUCUCUUUGGACCUUUUUAUUUCAAGAUCUUGGCACCAAAGUGCUCAACUUCUUCUCCACUUCCAUCUACAUGCAACAACAACAAAUAUAAAAAUUAAAUCUUUCGAUUUCAACCCUUCAUGUUUCACAAACAGUAAUUUAUUUAUUUUUUUUUUGUAUUUUUAGUGCAAAUUUAUUUUUCAUCCUCUUUCUUUGAAUCGAUCAAAAAUAUUUUCAGUUAAAAGAGCUUUUUGAAAUAUCAUCCCAAUAAAAUCACUCUCCUCCAUCUGAUCUACAAAACCCACAAAAAAAUUAAGAUCAAAAUACAUUCGCCGGAUACCACAGUUUUGGAGAGCACCGCACCGGAAACCAUCACAUCGGAAAUCACAGAAUCCUCUUCUGUUUUUAUUUUCAUAUGUGUUAAAUGGUAAUUAUGUUUGAUUGUACCUUUUUUAUAAUAAGAUCUAAAAGAUCAGGUUGAAAAAAUAAUUCAUUUAUUUUAGAUUUGAUAUUAUUUUCUAAUUCAUUAUUUCUCUGCAAAGUUCUCUACUUUCACUAUUAUUUUUUAGAUCUACUACAAUUGAUGAAUUAAAACAAAAAAAAAAUUAUAUUUCUUUUAUUAGUUUUGUAACAGCUAUAACCAAAAUAUUUUUAUUUUUUUUAGAAAUAAUAAGAUGGUUUGAAUUAAUGUAAAUGAUUAUGUUAUCAAUACUUCCCUUUAUUUUGAUUUUUCUUUUCUUCAUUAGUUUUUUCUUUUUUUUGACGAAAUUUUCUUUUCUUCAUUAGUUGUCACCGUUUUUUUUUAAGCUCAUCCAUCUAAUUUUCUUUUUUCUUUUUUUCGUAAAAAAAAAACAAAUUAAUACAGUAGAUCUAAAAAAAAACUACUAUUUCUAUUGUUUGGACCUGAAUAUAUUUUAAAAUUUAUUUGUUGUGUUUGAUUGUAAUCUUCUACAACUUUGAAAAAAAGCUCUGUUUCUCACACUAUACAAUUGAUUUGGCUUUGUUAAUUUUUAUUUUGGGUUUAAGAAGUUUUUUUUAUAUAUGCUUCUGUUUUUAUUUUUGAAGAUAAUUUUUGACGAUAUAUCAAUGAAAAUAAAUGGAGGCAAAUGAGUAAAGGCAGAAAAAAAAUAAUAUUACCACUUAUUUAUCCAGAUCCACUUGUUAUGGUGAGCUUUAAACUUUUCUGCAAAUAAGAAAAAAAACUGGUUUGUUAAGUAAUGGAGUCGAAGAUUAGAAAGAUAUAUGAGAGCAA